CUGACGAGUGGCGGACGGGUGAGUAAUGUCUGGGAAACUGCCUGAUGGAGGGGGGAGUAACUACUGGAAACGGUAGCUAAUACCGCAUAACGUCGCAAGACCAAAGAGGGGGACCUUCGGGCCUCUUGCCAUCGGAUGUGCCCAGAUGGGAUUAGCUAGUAGGUGGGGUAACGGCUCACCUAGGCGACGAUGCGUAGCCGACCUGAGAGGGUGACCGGCCACACUGGGACUGAGACACGGCCCAGACUCCUACGGGAGGCAGCAUG
rnacentral:rRNA from 1 species